AGCGAACGCUGGCGGCAGGCCUAACACAUGCGAGUCGAACGAACCUUUCGGGGUUAGUGGCGGACGGGUGAGUAACACGUGGGAACGUGCCUUUAGGUUCGGAAUAACUCAGGGAAACUUGUGCUAAUACCGAAUGUGCCCUUCGGGGGAAAGAUUAAUCGCCUUUAGAGCGGCCCGCGUCUGAUUAGCUAGUUGGUUGAGGUAAUGGCUCACCAAGGCGACGAUCAGUAGCUGGCCUGAGAGGAUGAUCAGCCACAUUGGGACUGAGACACGGCCCAAACUCCUACGGGAGGCAGCAGUGGGGAAUCUUGCGCAAUGGGCGAAAGCCUGACGCAGCCAUGCCGCGUGAAUGAUGAAGGUCUUAGGAUUGUAAAAUUCUUUCACCGGGGACGAUAAUGACGGUACCCGGAGAAGAAGCCCCGGCUAACUUCGUG
rnacentral:rRNA from 1 species